rnacentral:rRNA from 1 species
AGAGUUUGAUCAUGGCUCAGAACGAACGCUGGCGGCAUGCCUAACACAUGCAAGUCGAACGAGACCUUCGGGUCUAGUGGCGCACGGGUGCGUAACGCGUGGGAACCUGCCUUUAGGUUCGGAAUAACUCAGAGAGAUUUGAGCUAAUACCGGAUAAUGUCUUCGGACCAAAGAUUUAUCGCCUUUAGAUGGGCCCGCGUAAGAUUAGCUAGUUGGUGGGGUAAAGGCCUACCAAGGCGACGAUCUUUAGCUGGUCUGAGAGGAUGAUCAGCCACACUGGGACUGAGACACGGCCCAGACUCCUACGGGAGGCAGCAGUGGGGAAUAUUGGACAAUGGGCGAAAGCCUGAUCCAGCAAUGCCGCGUGAGUGAUGAAGGCCUUAGGGUUGUAAAGCUCUUUUACCCGAGAUGAUAAUGACAGUAUCGGGAGAAUAAGCUCCGGCUAACUCCGUG